CUCAGCUUCCUCCGCACGGUUAUCCCUGUACCCGCCGCCAUCCAUCCUGGCGCUCCGGAUGAGUCAAUGAGGGGCAGCGCCCGAGGAAUGGUCUUCCCAAGAACCCCCGGUGGCCUCCCAAGGCCGGUGCUGUGUACCUCCUCCCCGACAAAAGGGGCAACUGAGGCCCCGAGGGGAGUGGGAAGAGCCGGCUGGACGUCAGGCCCAGCCGCUGGUGCGGUAGUCCGUCCCCUCCGCCGGGGUGGGCCCCUCGGGUUUCGCGUGUCCUCGGGAAAGAGACUGGCGGGCCUCGUGGGCUGUGCGGCUCUCCUGGAGACAGAUGACAGCUCUCCCUUGGAUGGCUUUGCUAGUUUCGCACCAGCCAGCGCCCCAUUUUUCCUGCAGCACCCUGAUCCGCACUCCCUGAGGGGCUCCCACUGUCCGCGGUGUGAGGAUGUCCCUGGUCCACUGUGUGCAGAGGCAUGGGAGUUGUCAUGUCGAUAACAUGCUAGACCUCAGUGUCCUUGAGCUUGAAGAAAGACAACAGAACACUGGAGACCAAGUACUUGCAGCCUUCUGCUCUGUGGCCCCUCCUCACUCCAGGGAUGCCGCCUUGGGUCUGGAGACUGUUAGAGGAAACCCCAAGAGGUGCAAGCACUGAGCCUCUCAGGACAAUGACCUGGGAUUCCACCUCCCCUGGAGGGGCCUCCUCAUGGUAAGCGAAUGCCAAGAGGUUAAGUCGGCCUGUGUUUCCGAGGUGGAAAUUCGAAGCCGCUGGCUUGAUUUGUCUUCUCUUUUAGAUUGUUUGGGGGUUGAUCACAGACCAAGAGUGAUGAGUGAUGUCACCCUGUGAUGCAUGGCUGGACCUUCUUGCCCCUAUUGUCUCAGCACAACAUUAAUCGACUUUUCCCUCAGCGUGGGUGGGCAGAGGAAAAGCCCUGUGGCUCUGGGGACUUGGGAUCCAGAGUUGAAGACCCUUCAGCUGGCUCUGCCCUGCCAGUGCCACAGAGUGCCAUGGCCCAGGAAGACUGGUUUUCUUCCAUCUAGGCCAGGCCAUCCAGUGGCCAUCCUUCGUGUCCUCCCACCUCCUUCUGGUGUGACUUCUGAAAACCAAGAAUUUGUUCCUGUUGACUUUUUCUGUGCUAUGGACCAUUGUCCUCUGACCCACUCAAUAAAUCUUGAAACAUGC
rnacentral:sRNA from 1 species